rnacentral:rRNA from 1 species
GAGGAAGUAAAAGUCGUAACAAGGUUUCCGUAGGUGAACCUGCGGAAGGAUCAUUACCUAGAGUUGUAGGCUUUGCCUGCUAUCUCUUACCCAUGUCUUUUGAGUACCUUCGUUUCCUCGGCGGGUUCGCCCGCCGAUUGGACAAUUUAAACCAUUUGCAGUUGCAAUCAGCGUCUGAAAAAACAUAAUAGUUACAACUUUCAACAACGGAUCUCUUGGUUCUGGCAUCGAUGAAGAACGCAGCGAAAUGCGAUAAGUAGUGUGAAUUGCAGAAUUCAGUGAAUCAUCGAAUCUUUGAACGCACAUUGCGCCCCUUGGUAUUCCAUGGGGCAUGCCUGUUCGAGCGUCAUUUGUACCUUCAAGCUCUGCUUGGUGUUGGGUGUUUGUCUCGCCUCUGCGUGUAGACUCGCCUCAAAACAAUUGGCAGCCGGCGUAUUGAUUUCGGAGCGCAGUACAUCUCGCGCUUUGCACUCAGAGAACGACGACGUCCAAAAGUACAUUUUUACACUCUUGACCUCGGAUCAGGUAGGGAUACCCGCUGAACUUAAGCAUAUCA